rnacentral:piRNA from 1 species
UACAAAUGAGCUGACUGAAGUACCAAGAC